GGUUGGCUAGUGUAACGGUUAGCACGGCAGAUUUUGAGCCGCUGGGAGAUUCGUCCUCUGCCGCGUGUCAUGUGGUCUUCUGCAGAUCUGGGUUCGAUUCCCAGGCCGACCU